UACGUAGGGUGCAAGCGUUAAUCGGAAUUACUGGGCGUAAAGCGUGCGCAGGCGGUUUUGUAAGACUGUCGUGAAAUCCCCGGGCUUAACCUGGGAAUGGCGAUGGUGACUGCAAGGCUAGAGUUUGGCAAAGGGGGGUAGAAUUCCACGUGUAGCAGUGAAAUGCGUAGAUAUGUGGAGGAACACCGAUGGCGAAGGCAGCCCCCUGGGUCAAAACUGACGCUCAUGCACGAAAGCGUGGGGAGCAAACAGG
rnacentral:rRNA from 1 species